UCCUCACAGCUCUGAUCAUUACAGCUGAUGAGAGGAGGAGACUGCUCCACAUUGUCUCAAAUGCAAGCCCUCCUCCUCAGCCUCAACAACAAACAUCGACGUCUAAGCACAGAUGCACAUCUAAAUGCAGUCAAACUUUCCUCGAGCCUGACAUCAGAUAUGUAAAUGUCUGAUUUUACCUGACCAGCAGGUGAAAAUAUAUUUAGUGCACAGUCAUCUAAAAAGAAAAACUGUCAACUGCCUAACAAGGUGCACAUAUUCACAGCUGCUGCUGCAGGAGAUGAGCCCAAAUGAGGAGAGUCUACAUAAGAUGAGAGGGACGUGCCAGACAACAGGUGCAUGGAUACAUCACGGCUCAUCCACUGGCACCACACUGUAUGAUUCCAGCCAUAUAAAAGACAGCUGGUUUUGAUCUGUUUCAUUUUUUUUUAGAUCGAUUACUUGUAAAUGUACAGCAACUCUAGCUCCUCAGACAGGAAGGAGUAUGACUAAGGGUGUCUCAUCCUAGUCUCACAGGCUACUCACACUUACUCUUCCCCCUGUGGUGAUAGCAAUGCCUCUCCACAGUGUAUCUGUUUGUUCAUUCAUAGGAAAAGCAUUAGUGACACGUAGAUGAGUCAUAGAGGCUUGCGUCUAAACAGUCCACGGCGUGUCAGAAACCCUGCCACCCUUCUGCUCCUCGCCUCAAGGCACUACUCAUACCCUCACCAGUCUCCCUAGUUACUCUAACUCGUACAUAUGCAUACAUAUGCCUCCUGUGUUUGUUCAAACAGAGCGGAUCCCACCUGAUGUGUUGGGUGCCACAGAGCAGAUGUUGCUGUAGUUGUGGGCCGGACUGCAGUGGGAGGCUGUGGACAUCCUCAUUACUGAGAUGCUGUUGGGGUUCUCCUCUCUAGUGGGAUCUCUUUAAUGAAGUGGUUCUUCUUAUAAUCAUUCACUCUAUU